AACGCGCGUUAGUACUCUAGCUAAAUUGCGUUCGUUGAAUAUGAGAAGAUCGGUUUCCUUUGUUGAUCGUCUGGAGCUGCAGCUGAAAGGUAACGUCUUCUCGCAGGCCCUUUGUUUAGGCGAUGUGGACAACGACGGAAAAAGUGAAUUGGUUGUUGGCAAUGUUCAUGGUGAUUUGGCUGUGUUUAAGAAGGGAGAGAGGACUAGACCUUGGAGAUCAUGUCACAACCUUGGAUCUAUUGCUUGUGUUGGAGUUGCAGAUCUCUGUCAGAUUGGACAGAAUGUGCUGGUAUGUGUGAGUGCUGAAGGCUAUUGCCAUAUUUUCUACUUUCAGGAGAAGAAAGAGUUUGAGGAUCUUGUCAAUGAUAUGAAGCCAACAUGCACCCAGAGGAUUCCUGCUAACAUAAGAGUUCUUUUGUUGGAUAACAUUAUGAGUGAUGGAACUUGCCAUCUUGUCGUUGGGUACACUGAUCGUGUGGUUAGAGCCUAUCGAUGGAUUAAGUCCGAGAGUCAGUCAUCAUCAUUGUCUGGUUCUCUCGUUGCUGUCAAGAAAUGGAAUCUUGAAGGACAGGUUGGGUCUCUGUCACUUACUGACAUGCCAGAUGGUUCACGCUACCUUCUUGUUGCCCAACCAGGUGGGAAUUUUGUCUACUUACAAGUGGACUAUGGAGCAUCAACGGAUAGCCUAGAUGAUUCCGAUGGGCAAGCAACAGCAAAAAGUAAACCAAUUCCAAUGGGCCACAGAAGAGUCUCUUCAAACACAUCUGAACUGGAUGCUGUGUUUGCCAGCAGCCCUCAUAGCAGCAGACCGAUUGGAAGCAGUGCUAGUGCAGGAAUAUCAACCGAAGUGCUGGGUCUCAUAAAAUGCAAAGAAGAAGGCUUGACAAGACAGCAGAAUCUAAUAGCUGUUUCGACACUGGAUGGCUCGCUGCAGCUUUUGGAGGGUAGCAAACUGUUAUGGGAGUUACAUGUUGACCAUCAGCUAUUUUCUCUUGCUAAACUUGACAUGACGAAUGAUGGCAAUGAAGAAGUCAUUGCAUGCGCAUGGGAUGGUCUGACAUAUAUUGUUGACAGACACCGCAAUGUUGUUCGAUAUCAGUUUGAAGAGAAUGUGGCUGCAUUUUGUGCAGGAAACUACUGUGUUGAAGCCCACGAUGUUCCAUGCCUUGUGUAUGCUACAUUUUCUGGGAGAAUCUAUGUGUAUUAUAAUAUCACUUUGCCGAGAAUUGUUGUAAGCUCAUUAGCAUCUGUGAUAGAAGAAGAGCUGGAGAAGACCAAUAUUAGGAAGGAAUAGUAAGAGGCACAUCACUGCACACAAAAAUUGAUGAGUUUCUUUACUAGUUUCCUCGACUCAAGAAGAAAAUAGAUGAUGAAGUAGGACUAUCACGUCGUAAUCUUGUCAGUUGGUGUCUCUAUGGUCGCCAAAUCGAGGGCAAAAAGCAAGGAGAAGAAACGAACAAGUAAACGCUAAAUACAAUAUCUGAAUGCACGCAAUUUUUUACGAAUCGUACAGUAAAUUACUGGGAUUAACAAUAUCAUUCAAAUGCUGUACAUACACAAUGGUUACAUCCAGUCAUUUAAAUGUCUGUCAAUUCAUACAUUUGGAAGGGAGUAAGGUACUAGAAAAACAUGGCACAAUAAUAUCAAUAGUUGCUAAUACAAUAGUCAGGAGACCAUUUAAGAAUUUAUCUGAAAAUCACUAGUCAGAGAGCCAUUCAAUCUUUGGAAAAGACACAACUGCCAGGUUUAGUGCUGUUUCAUCAUCCAGGCAUUAUGGCAACACGAUAAGCCACAGUCAUAAUACUGUACGUUCCUAAUCAAUGCAGUGGCUGUGGUCUCACAACUACACUAUGGCACAGGCAGUACAUGUAAUGAAAUAAUGAAAAUAAAUGUUUAAAUUAUUAUAAUGCAAGGUUGCCCUAAUGCCAGACUAUUGUUGGAGAUCAAGAGCAAUUGAUAUUUCGUUUAAAGGUAGGUGUGU